rnacentral:lncRNA from 1 species
AAAAAUCCACAUAAUGUUUAUAACAAAAUAAAAAAGUGCCACUAACAUAAAUCCGCGUCGAGAUCCUCCGCCACCCUGGGCCUAAUGUAUCCCGCCUCCAUGUGCAGUGUCGCGAGCUCGCUGCUCUGAUCGUGGCGGUUCAGAUUUGUGUCGGUGGGGUUCUCGAAAACCCUUGUUGCUGCGGUGAAGUGGCGCCCGAAACAUGAGCAUCCGUCAGUG